GUGGGGAAUAUUGCACAAUGGGCGCAAGCCUGAUGCAGCCAUGCCGCGUGUGUGAAGAAGGCCUUCGGGUUGUAAAGCACUUUCAGCGGGGAGGAAGGCGGUGAGGUUAAUAACCUCAUCGAUUGACGUUACCCGCAGAAGAAGCACCGGCUAACUCCGUGCCAGCAGCCGCGGUAAUACGGAGGGUGCAAGCGUUAAUCGGAAUUACUGGGCGUAAAGCGCACGCAGGCGGUCUGUCAAGUCGGAUGUGAAAUCCCCGGGCUCAACCUGGGGACUGCAAUCGAAACUGGCAGGCUAGAGUCUUGUAGAGGGGGGUAGAAUUCCAGGUGUAGCGGUGAAAUGCGUAGAGAUCUGGAGGAAUACCGGUGGCGAAGGCGGCCCCCUGGACAAAGACUGACGCUCAGGUGCGAAAGCGUGGGGAGCAAACAGGAUUAGAAACCCCGGUAGUCC
rnacentral:rRNA from 1 species